UCUCAAACGGUAACCCUCUAAAAGGAAGCACUUUCUUUUCUUUCAGACCACAGAAAGCGCUUCCCUCUAGAGGGUCACAGCCUGAGA
rnacentral:pre_miRNA from 1 species